rnacentral:rRNA from 1 species
UACGUAGGGAGCAAGCGUUAUCCGGAUUUAUUGGGUGUAAAGGGUGCGUAGACGGGAUUACAAGUUGGUUGUGAAACCCCUCAGCUCAACUGAGGAACUGCAACCAAAACUAUAAUUCUUGAGUGCAGGAGAGGAAAGUGGAAUUCCUAGUGUAGCGGUGAAAUGCGUAGAUAUUAGGAGGAACACCAGUGGCGAAGGCGGCUUUCUGGACGACAACUGACGCUGAGGCGCGAAAGUGUGGGGAGCAAACAGG